UGCUCUUCUGAUCUGUUACUUUGAGACAGUCAUCCUAAAUGCAUUAGAGGAACUGUAAAAAUCUGCCACAGGAGGAACGAUGAUCCAUAGUAAGAAAAGUUACUGCAGCUUAAACAGGAAACCCUUCUUGUUCAGGACUGUCAUAGCCACAGUUUGCAAACAGUGCAGCUAUUGAUUAAUGCGAUGUAGUGUCAAUUAGAUGUACAUUCCUGAGGUCUUUAUCUGUUGUAGCUUUGUCUCUCUUUUUCUUUUCAUUACAUCAGGUAUAUUGCCCUGUAAAUUGUGGUAGUGGUACCAGGAAUAAAAAAUUAAGGAAUUUUUAACUUUUCAAUAUUUGUGUAGUUCAGUUUUUCUACAUUUUAGUACAGAAACUUUAACAAAAAUGCAGUUUUGAAGGUGUUUCCUUGUGAGUUAACAAGUAAAGAAGAUCAUUGUUAAUUACUAUUUUGUAUGAAUUUUGCUAAAGUUAACUGUAAAGAAACACCUACUGACUUGCAAUUUAAGGGGAAUCUAUUCUUCCCAUUUCCAAAACUAUGAGUGGGCGCUGACAUGUGGAGAGAAUAGAUAUUUGUAUGUUUGCAAUGUGUGUUUUAGAUAAUUAGGAUUGGGUAAUAAAAUUAGCAUAUUUGUGAAUUUAAUAGCAUUAAGAUUACUCUCAAAUGAAAAAGAUCUCAAAAGUUCCUAUUUGGGUUUUGUGCAUUUUAUUUCAAAAUGUAAUCAUGGUUUUAGUAUGUUUCAUUGAGUCCUAACCGUGUUAAGAACAUCUCCAUUCCACAUUUACCCUGAUCACAUUGAAACUGCUGCCAAUAGUUUGGGGUAUAAAAGUAUUUAUAUUUAUAUCACACUCUACUGAAGGGUGGUGGGUGUAUUUCAUCUUCCAAUUUAACAGUCUUUUAAUACAGGACCACUAAGUAUGCUGUGUCUGAGCAAACUGGUGGAUACCUGGUUCUGCUUUUCAGAUGCAAAGUCCCAAAGCACAUUAUUAUUCCUUGGUUUUUAGUGUCCCCCACCAUACAACUUUUCAGAGCAGAGGAAUAAAAGUCACUCGUUUGAACCCC